UUGGAGGGCAAGUCUGGUGCCAGCAGCCGCGGUAAUUCCAGCUCCAAUAGCGUAUAUUAAAGUUGUUGCAGUUAAAAAGCUCGUAGUUGAAUUUCGGAGUUUGUCGGUUGGUCGGGCUUCACUGUCCGCACUGGCCUGAUGGAUUCCUACCUUCUGAAUAACCAGCAUGCUAUUAAGUUAGUGCGUUGGGGAAGCAGAGCUAUUACCUUGAAAAAAUUAGAGUGCUUAAAGCAGGCUUUUGCUUGAAUAGAUUAGCAUGGAAUAAUGAAAUAGGACGUUCGAUCCUAUUUUGUUGGUUUCUAGGAUUGACGUAAUGAUUAAUAGGGAUAGUUGGGGGCAUUAGUAUUCAAUUGUCAGAGGUGAAAUUCUUGGAUUUAUUGAAGACUAACUACUGCGAAAGCAUUUGCCAAGGAUGUUUUCAUUAAUCAAGAACGAAAGUUAGGGGAUCGAAGACGAUCAGAUACCGUCGUAGUCUUAACCAUAAACUAUGCCGACUAGGGAUCGGAUGAUGUUAAUUUUUUAAUGACUCAUUCGGCGCCUUACGGGAAAC
rnacentral:rRNA from 1 species